AUUUCCUCCUGUUCUCCCAUUUUUUAAAGUUACGGGAUUUUGACACCUGGGGGCAGACCCGGGCGCAGAGCCUCACCGUGCCGGGCCUCGUGAAGUCCACGCUGCGCGCCAGGCUCUGCCGCAUCUGGUUGCUGAAGAGGCGGACGCAGACGCUCUGCAGGUACUCGGGGGUGAUCUGUCGGAGGACAGAGGAUGGACGGCGGGUGAAAGGGGUGAGACAUCCCCGGAGCCGUGAGAGGCACCCUAGCCAGUGUCGGAGCUGACUCUCAACAGCCUCUCCGAGGGCACAAAGGGUGGCUUGUGGGAUCUCAGUUCCCUGACCAGGGAUUGAACCUGUGCACUCAGCAGUGAAACUGCAGAGUCCUAACCACUGGACCGCCAGGGAUUUCCCAUCAAAUAAACCGAUUUUAAAUUUAUUUAUUUUA